rnacentral:rRNA from 1 species
CAAAACCGGCGCACGGGUGCGUAACGCGUAUACAAUCUGCCUUUCACAUAGGGAUAGCCGAAGAAAUUUGGAUUAAUACCUAAUGGUAUAUAAGAGCGGCAUCGUUUUUAUAUUAAAGCUACGGUGGUGAAAGAUGAGUAUGCGUUCUAUUAGCUAGUUGGAGAGGUAACGGCUCCCCAAGGCGACGAUAGAUAGGGGUUCUGAGAGGGAUGUCCCCCACACUGGUACUGAGAUACGGACCAG